GGGUCUGGAAGAGGGUCCAGGGACAAGACAGAGCCACUGAAUGCUGAGCUCCACAAUGGUGCUCCCUCCAGCUUGACUGGCCUCUCGUGGCUAUGGGCAGCCAUUGAAUGGUGACUGCCAUCAGCAGCCACAUUCUUCAAAAGGGAUGGGAGGUGGAGAGCAGACAGGAGGCAUAGGAAUCAGGAAAAGUAGUCAUUAAAUAAUCACGAUUUCGUUCAGCUUUUCCCAACUUUUACUUCCAAAGAGAAAUCUUGAUUCAUCUCAAACAGUAUAUGAAAGUCCGUGGCAUCUGUUAAUGGUUCAGAGAAGGGCAUGUGCUCCCAGUUGGUCCAAUUAGACCGAAAGAGAGGAAACUAGAUGACGUGAAGGCUGACACAUCAAGUGAGAGCAGCAAACACUGAGACAGAAAGGCCCUAAGCCCUUAAUAACCUCGCUAACUGUGCUGGUCCUGGAAACAACUAUUUUCUGGACUCUCAGAGCAAGAAAGGAAUUAUCAAGCCAUUUCCAACUGGAGUUUUUUGUUACCAGUAGUCGAAUACAUUCUAACUGAUAAACUACCUCAAAGGACUGUUGCAAAGAUUAAGGGGGAAAGUCUAGUUAUCCAGUGAAGCCAGGACUCUGUGUUGUUGGAGGCCCAAGAAAAAGCCACUUCUUGCCAUUGUAUAUCCUUUGCCAGUGUUAUCCUUUGGGCUGCAUAAGAAGCUGGUGUGCAGUUCUGGAGGUUGAGAAGUCCAAGAUCAAGAUGCCAGAAGGUUUGGUGUCUGGUGAGGGUCCAGUCUCUGCUUCCAAUAUAGCACGUUGAAUGCUGCAUUCAUUAGAGGGAAGGAACCCUGGAUCCUCUCAUAGCAGAUGUCAGAAGGGCAAAAAGGGGUAAGACUCCCUCCAUCAAGUCCGUUUAGAAGAGCACCUAAUCCCUUUCAUGAGGGAAGAGCCCUCAUGACUCAAUCACCUCCUAGAGGCCACACCUCCCAAUGCUGUUGCAUUGGGGAUUAAGUUUCUACAUGAAUUUCUGGGGACAUUUUCAGAUCAUGGUAGUCUCCUACUCUGCCUGAAUUUGUACCACACUGUUACAAUGGAAGACUUGUGUUAUCUCCUUUCUAAGCUUUGCAUUCUACUCUGGAUCCUAUCUGCCUUUUGCUGAAGGAUUUCCCUACUGUUAAGUGUCCACUUUCUCUCCUACAUGAAAACUUUUUCCUUUCAACUAGGUUAUUCUCAUACGUACAUACCUUAAUCUUCUAUCUUAAAUAAAACUCUCUUGACCUGGCAUUGGCUUCCAGCUAUCUACCUCCUCCCCUCAUUUCUCUGUUCCCGUCACAACAAGACUCAUGGAAAUAUCUGAAUACAAACAAACCUUUCAAAUUCCUUGCCUCCCGUUUUCACCUCAGUCAUUCCAUCCACACUUUCAUUCUCAUCAAUCCACACCAAGAAGGCUUUUACUAAGACCUACAUCUUCCCAAAACUGACAGAGGGUCAAUUUUCUGUCCUCCUUUGACAUCUUAGUGGCAUUUGAUCCAAUUGACCACUCUCUCCUCCUUCUUUGAAACUCUGUUUCAUCUGAUUCUGAGACAACACACUCUUCUUGUUUUUUUUUUCUACCUCACCCCAUUUCUUAGUCUACUUUGCCGGCUGCUGCUUCUGUUCCAGAUCUCUAAAUGUGGGAAUGCCCAAAGCUCUUUCCUUGACCCUCUUCUUUAUCCAGAUUCUAUUGUUGAUCUCCUAUAAUCUCAUGUAUAAUGAAAUGUAUGUGUUGAUGACUUAGGUUUUAGUCAGCCAAUUGGUUCUUUACUCUGGGUUUUAGACUCAUAUAUUCAACCACCAACUCAACAUCUUCACUUGCUUGUCCAUUAGACAUCCCAAACUUUGUAUGUCCAAAGAGAGCUAGUGUUUACUAUACCCUCCCAUUCUAGCCACAACUGUCCCCUCUAAGUCAUCCCCAUAGUACCACAUCUCAGCACCAUUCCUGUAUUUAUGGUGCCAGAAACUUAGUUCCAACUCUUCUGUUUUCCUCACACUUCAAUCCAUUGGCAGGUCUCUUUGGCUUUACCUCAAAUCCAUGUAUUAAGUCUGUCUACUUUCUUCACUACUUUCACUUUAGUCCAAUUUACCUUCAUUUCUGCCCAGCACAACAUUAAGAGACUCCUUAGUGGUCUUACCACCUCCAUUUUUGUCUCUCUAACAGUCAGGAUAAAAUUCAUACUGUGAAAUAUUUCUGGGUCACAGAAAAGUACAAAGAAUAGCAUAGCAAACUUCUAUGUAGCCAUCAUUCCACAUAAGGAAUAAAAUAUUAUUGACACAAUUGAAGGCUCCUUGAGAACCUCAUUCUGUCUUUCUUACUCAUCUUUAAUUUGGUGGACACAUAUCUUUAUACUUUAAAUACACACACGUAUGUGUAUGUAUAUAACCAUUCCCUGUCAUUUGACAGACUUACCUUCUGAUACAACAACCUACCAUGCUCCCUGCCUGUCCUUGAAAAUCAACACUGGACCAUUUUUGAAGACACGGAAGGUUUGAGAGUGGUGAUUUUAAAUAUAUUUCAUCAUAAAUAGGAAUCCU